UAGGGAAUCUUCCGCAAUGGGCGAGAGCCUGACGGAGCAACGCCGCGUGAGUGAUGAAGGUCUUCGGAUCGUAAAACUCUGUUAUUAGGGAAGAACAAAUGUGUAAGUAACUAUGCACGUCUUGACGGUACCUAAUCAGAAAGCCACGGCUAACUACGUGCCAGCAGCCGCGGUAAUACGUAGGUGGCAAGCGUUAUCCGGAAUUAUUGGGCGUAAAGCGCGCGUAGGCGGUUUUUUAAGUCUGAUGUGAAAGCCCACGGCUCAACCGUGGAGGGUCAUUGGAAACUGGAAAACUUGAGUGCAGAAGAGGAAAGUGGAAUUCCAUGUGUAGCGGUGAAAUGCGCAGAGAUAUGGAGGAACACCAGUGGCGAAGGCGACUUUCUGGUCUGUAACUGACGCUGAUGUGCGAAAGCGUGGGGAUCAAACAGG
rnacentral:rRNA from 1 species